CUGACCUUCGGGGAACGAUAACGGCGUCGAGCGGCGGACGGGUGAGUAAUGCCUGGGAAAUUGCCCUGAUGUGGGGGAUAACCAUUGGAAACGAUGGCUAAUACCGCAUAAUAGCUUCGGCUCAAAGAGGGGGACCUUCGGGCCUCUCGCGUCAGGAUAUGCCCAGGUGGGAUUAGCUAGUUGGUGAGGUAAGGGCUCACCAAGGCGACGAUCCCUAGCUGGUCUGAGAGGAUGAUCAGCCACACUGGAACUGAGACACGGUCCAGACUCCUACGGGAGGCAGCAGUGGGGAAUAUUGCACAAUGGGCGCAAGCCUGAUGCAGCCAUGCCGCGUGUAUGAAGAAGGCCUUCGGGUUGUAAAGUACUUUCAGCAGUGAGGAAGGUGGUGUACUUAAUACGUGCAUCAUUUGACGUUAGCUGCAGAAGAAGCACCGGCUAACUCCGUGCCAGCAGCCGCGGUAAUACGGAGGGUGCGAGCGUUAAUCGGAAUUACUGGGCGUAAAGCGCAUGCAGGUGGUUUGUUAAGUCAGAUGUGAAAGCCCGGGGCUCAACCUCGGAAUUGCAUUUGAAACUGACAGACUAGAGUACUGUAGAGGGGGGUAGAAUUUCAGGUGUAGCGGUGAAAUGCGUAGAGAUCUGAAGGGAAUACCGGUGG
rnacentral:rRNA from 1 species